rnacentral:rRNA from 1 species
AGAGUUUGAUCAUGGCUCAAAUUGAACGCUGGCGGCAUGGCUAAAGCAUGCAAGUCGUACGUGCCCCGCAAGGGGAAAGUGGCGGAAGGGCGAGUAAUGCGCUUCUACGUGCCCCGAGGUGGAGGAUAGGGCGGGGAAACCCACCGUAAUACUCCAUGUUCUCUACGGAGAAAAGCUAUUGCGCCUUGGGAGCGGGGAGCGCCCUAUCAGGUAGUUGGCGGGGUAACGGCCCACCAAGCCGAAGACGGGUAGCGGGUGUGAGAGCACGACCCGCCGCAUCGGGACUGAGACACUGCCCGGACUCCUACGGGAGGCUGCAGCAACGAAUAUCCCGCAAUGCACGAAAGUGUGACGGAGCAAUGCCGCGUGCAGGAUGAAGCGGCUUCGCCGUGUAAACUGCUGUCAGGGGUCAGAAACACUGAUCGACCCCAAAGGAAGAGCCGGCUAACCCUGUGCCAGCAGCCGCGGUAAUUC